rnacentral:miRNA from 12 species
UGUACUUCCUGGUUUUAUAGCUAUAUAUGUAUGCAAUGUGUGUGUGUGUGUCUGUGUACACACACACACACACACACACACA